GACGAACGCUGGCGGCGUGCUUAACACAUGCAAGUCGAACGGAAAGGCCCUGCUUUUGUGGGGUGCUCGAGUGGCGAACGGGUGAGUAACACGUGAGUAACCUGCCCUUGACUUUGGGAUAACUUCAGGAAACUGGGGCUAAUACCGGAUAGGAGCUCCUGCUGCAUGGUGGGGGGUGGAAAGUUUCGGCGGUUGGGGAUGGACUCGCGGCUUAUCAGCUUGUUGGUGGGGUAGUGGCUUACCAAGGCUUUGACGGGUAGCCGGCCUGGGAGGGUGAACGGCCACCUGGGGACUGAGAUACGGCCCAGACUCGUACGGGAGGCAGCAGUGGGGAAUAUUACACAGUGGGCGGAAGCCUGAGGCGACAACGCCGCGUGCGGGAUGACGGCCUUCGGGUUGUGAACCGCUGUCGCCUGAGACGAAGCGUGAGUGACGGUAAUGGGUAAAUAAGCACCGGCUAACUACGUG
rnacentral:rRNA from 1 species